AUUGAACGCUGGCGGCAUGCCUUACACAUGCAAGUUGAACGGUAACAGGUUAAGCUGACGAGUGGCGAACGGGUGAGUAAUGUAUCGGAACGUGCCCAGUCGUGGGGGAUAACUGCUCGAAAGAGCAGCUAAUACCGCAUACGACCUGAGGGUGAAAGCGGGGGAUCGCAAGACCUCGCGCGAUUGGAGCGGCCGAUAUCAGAUUAGGUAGUUGGUGAGGUAAAGGCUCACCAAGCCGACGAUCUGUAGCUGGUCUGAGAGGACGACCAGCCACACUGGGAAUGAGACGCGGCCCAGACUCCUACGGGAGGCAGCAGUGGGGAAUUUUGGACAAUGGGCGCAAGCCUGAUCCAGCCAUGCCGCGUGCGGGAAGAAGGCCUUCGGGUUGUAAACCGCUUUUGUCAGGGAAGAAAAGGUUCUGGCUAAUACCUGGGACUCAUGACGGUACCUGAAGAAUAAGCACCGGCUAACUACGUGCCAGCAGCCGCGGUAA
rnacentral:rRNA from 1 species